rnacentral:rRNA from 1 species
UACGUAGGUGGCAAGCGUUAUCCGGAUUUAUUGGGCGUAAAGGGAACGCGGGCGGUCUUUUAAGUCUGAUGUGAAGGCCUUCGGCUUAACCGGAGUAGUGCAUUGGAAACUGGGAGACUUGAGUGCAGAAGAGGAGAGUGGAACUCCAUGUGUAGCGGUGAAAUGCGUAGAUAUAUGGAAGAACACCAGUGGCGAAAGCGGCUCUCUGGUCUGUAACUGACGCUGAGGUUCGAAAGCGUGGGUAGCAAACAGG